rnacentral:rRNA from 1 species
UACAGAGGUCUCGAGCGUUGUUCGGAUUCAUUGGGCGUAAAGGGUGCGUAGGUGGCGCUGUAAGUCAGGUGUGAAAUUUCGGAGCUUAACUCCGAAACUGCAUUCGAUACUGCCGUGCUUGAGGACUGGAGAGGAGACUGGAAUUUACGGUGUAGCGGUGAAAUGCGUAGAUAUCGUAAGGAAGACCAGUGGCGAAGGCGGGUCUCUGGACAGUUCCUGACGCUGAGGCGCGAAAGCGUGGGUAGCAAACAGG